ACAUCUGAUUCCUGCCUUUUCUUUCCUGUGCAGCCCUGACACUGCGAUGAUGAUACAGCUGGAAUAGAAGUCUUCUCACUCACCCUGGAGCAGGAAAUAAAAGCAGAGUAUGUGUGCCAGGCCCCCAGGCCUCCUGACUCCAACAGAAGUAUUCGAAGCCCAUGGAAAACCUCACAAAUCCUAGAGAGAGUUAAAGAGGUGGUGAUAUUAAAGCAAACACUUUCCUGCUGUCCAAACAGACACGCCGUGGUUCUGAAUUCUGAUGGAAAGGUAACCAAGUGAGCUUGUUGUGGCGUUAUUAUUUGUCACUCUCCAGGGCUAAUUGUUUAUAUCUCAGAAAGCUGGCUGUUACCAGAUCAUAUUUCAUUGACCCUCCUUCAUCAGUUUGUACUAUUUUCCUGUGUGUGGACUGUCUUUGUUUAAGGUUUCCCCAUAGUAGAAACUAAACCAUGUGUCUAUUACCCACUACUUUCUUCCUGUGGA
rnacentral:lncRNA from 1 species